rnacentral:rRNA from 1 species
UACGGAGGGAGCUAGCGUUGUUCGGAAUUACUGGGCGUAAAGGGCUCGUAGGCGGCCAACUAAGUCAUACGUGAAAUCCCCCGGCUUAACCGGGGAACUGCGUCUGAUACUGGAUGGCUUGAGUUCGGGAGAGGGAUGCGGAAUUCCAGGUGUAGCGGUGAAAUGCGUAGAUAUCUGGAGGAACACCGGUGGCGAAGGCGGCAUCCUGGACCGAUACUGACGCUGAGGAGCGAAAGCCAGGGGAGCAAACGGG